rnacentral:piRNA from 1 species
UAGCAAAUACGAUGACGCCAUGGUCUGCA